rnacentral:pre_miRNA from 1 species
AAAGUACUCCCUCCGUCCGAAAAUACUUGUCGGAGAAACGGAUAAAAUGGAUGUAUCCAAAACUAAAAUACAUCUAGAUACAUCCAUUUCUCCAACAUGUAUUUCCGGACAGAGGGAGUAAUAA